rnacentral:rRNA from 1 species
ACGAACGCUGGCGGCGUGCUUAACACCUGCAAGUCGAACGCUGAAGCUUGGUGCUUGCACUGGGUGGAUGAGUGGCGAACGGGUGAGUAAUACGUGAGUAACCUGCCCUUGACUCUGGGAUAAGCCUGGGAAACUGGGUCUAAUACUGGAUAUGACAUGCCACUGCAUGGUGGUGUGUGGAAAGGGUUUUACUGGUUUUGGAUGGGCUCACGGCCUAUCAGCUUGUUGGUGGGGUAAUGGCCUACCAAGGCGACGACGGGUAGCCGGCCUGAGAGGGUGACCGGCCACACUGGGACUGAGACACGGCCCAGACUCCUACGGGAGGCAGCAGUGGGGAAUAUUGCACAAUGGGCGGAAGCCUGAUGCAGCGACGCCGCGUGAGGGAUGACGGCCUUCGGGUUGUAAACCUCUUUCAGCACGGAAGAAGCGAGAGUGACGGUACGUGCAGAAGAAGCGCCGGCUAACUACGUG